CUGCCGCGUGUAUGAAGAAGGCCUUCGGGUUGUAAAGUACUUUCAGCGGGGAGGAAGGGAGUAAAGUUAAUACCUUUGCUCAUUGACGUUACCCGCAAAAAAAGCACCGGCUAACUCCGUGCCAGCAGCCGCGGUAAUACGGAGGGUGCAAGCGUUAAUCGGAAUUACUGGGCGUAAAGCGCACGCAGGCGGUUUGUUAAGUCAGAUGUGAAAUCCCCGGGCUCAACCUGGGAACUGCAUCUGAUACUGGCAAGCUUGAGUCUCGUAGAGGGGGGUAGAAUUCCAGGUGUAGCGGUGAAAUGCGUAAAGAUCUGGAGGAAUACCGGUGGCGAAGGCGGCCCCCUGGACAAAGACUGACGCUCAGGUGCGAAAGCGUGGGGAGCAAACAGGAUUAAAUACCCUGGUAGUCCACGCCGUAAACGAUGUCAACUUGGAGGUUGUGCCCUUGAGGCGUGGCUUCCGGAGCUAACGCGUUAAGUCGACCGCCUGGGGAGUACGGCCGCAAGGUUAAAACUCAAAUGAAUUGACGGGGGCCCGCACAAG
rnacentral:rRNA from 1 species